rnacentral:rRNA from 1 species
CAACAGGGCAUUGCCUUAGUAACGGCGAGUGAAGCGGCAAAAGCUCAAAUUUGAAAUCUGGCACCUUCGGUGUCCGAGUUGUAAUUUGAAGAAGGUGACUUUGGGAUUGGCUCUUGUCUAAGUUCCUUGGAACAGGACGUCACAGAGGGUGAGAAUCCCGUGCGAUGAGAUGACCAAUCCUAUGUAAAGUGCUUUCGAAGAGUCGAGUUGUUUGGGAAUGCAGCUCUAAGUGGGUGGUAAAUUCCAUCUAAAGCUAAAUAUUGGCGAGAGACCGAUAGCGAACAAGUACAGUGAUGGAAAGAUGAAAAGAACUUUGAAAAGAGAGUGAAAAAGUACGUGAAAUUGUUGAAAGGGAAGGGCUUGAGAUCAGACUUGGUAUUUUGCAUUCCUUACCUUCGUGGUGGGGUUCCUUGCAGUUUACUGGGCCAGCAUCGGUUUGGAUGGUGGGAUAAUGGCAUUGGAAUGUGGCUCUGCUUCGGUAGAGUGUUAUAGCCAGUGUUGAUACCGCCUGUCUAGACCGAGGACUGCGUCUUUGACUAGGAUGCUGGCAUAAUGAUCUUAAGUCGCCCGUCUUGAA